rnacentral:rRNA from 1 species
GACGAACGCUGGCGGCGUGCCUAAUACAUGCCAGUAGAACGCACAGUUUAUACCGUAGCUUGCUACACCAUAGACUGUGAGUUGCGAACGGGUGAGUAACGCGUAGGUAACCUGCCUGGUAUCGGGUGAUAACUAUUGAAAACGAUAGCUAAUACCGCAUAAUAUUCAUUAUUCCAUGAUAAUUAAUUGAAAGGUGCAAUUGCAUCACUACCAGAUGGCCCUGCGUUGUAUUAGCUAGUAGGUGAGGUAACGGCUCACCUAGGCGACGAUACAUAGCCGACCCGGGAGGGUGGUCGGCCACACUGGGACUGAGACACGGCCCAGAAUCCUACGGGAAGGAGCAGUAGGGAAUCUUCGGCAAUGGACGAAAGUCUGAACGAGCAACGCCGCGGGAGGGAAGAAGGUUUUCGGAUCGUAAAGCUCUGUUGUAAGAGAAGAAAGGGUGUGAGAGUGGAAAGUGCACACUGUGACGGUAUCUUACCAGAAAGGGACGGCUAACUACGUG